GUGCUCACUUCAGUAACAUAUAUACCAAAAUUGGAACAACACAGAGAUGAUUAGCAUGGCCCCUGCGCAGGAGUGACACAUAAAUUCGUGAAGCAUUCCUUAUUUGU
ensembl:snRNA U6 U6 spliceosomal RNA